rnacentral:rRNA from 1 species
UACGUAGGGUGCGAGCGUUGUCCGGAAUUAUUGGGCGUAAAGAGCUCGUAGGCGGUUUGUCGCGUCGACUGUGAAAACCUGGGGCUUAACUCUGGGCCUGCAGUCGAUACGGGCAGGCUAGAGUUCGGUAGGGGAGUCUGGAAUUCCUGGUGUAGCGGUGAAAUGCGCAGAUAUCAGGAGGAACACCGGUGGCGAAGGCGGGACUCUGGGCCGAUACUGACGCUGAGGAGCGAAAGCGUGGGGAGCGAACAGG